rnacentral:rRNA from 1 species
CGAAAGCCUGACGGAGCAAGACCGCGUGAGGGAGGAAGGCUCUUGGGUUGUAAACCUCUUUUCUCAGGGAAGAAGCUCUGACGGUACCUGAGGAAUCAGCCUCGGCUAACUCCGUGCCAGCAGCCGCGGUAAUACGGAGGAGGCAAGCGUUAUCCGGAAUUAUUGGGCGUAAAGCGUCCGCAGGUGGCGAUUCAAGUCUGCUGUCAAAGCCCACAGCUCAACUGUGGAUCGGCGGUGGAAACUGGUGGGCUAGAGGGCGACAGGGGUAGAGGGAAUUCCCAGUGUAGCGGUGAAAUGCGUAGAGAUUGGGAAGAACACCGGUGGCGAAAGCGCUCUACUGGGUCGCACCUGACCCUCAGGGACGAAAGCUAAGGGAGCG